rnacentral:lncRNA from 1 species
AGGCGGACAUGUUGGAGUAAAAUAGGUAUAACUUUUUGCUCCGAUAUCAGAUUUGAGUGAAAUUAGUAUUGUUGGAAAGAUAAUUUAAUUAUAUAUCUGUUUAUAGGUCUUGAGAUAAAAAAUUCAUAGUAUAAAGUGAGAUAUGCUCAUUUGAAGUUGACUAUAACAAUAUCCUUCCCAGGAAUUCAAUCGGUAAGGAAUGUUUUGAUUUGUCUGAUAGCUGGGAGUUAUUUGAAGCCUUAAUAUACAUCUAAAUUACUCAUAAAAAUAUAAAAGAACCAUGAUGUACCAUGCAUUAUCUUCAAGCAUGGCGCUAAUAUUGGUUUGGAUUUUUUGAGGUAUUACAAUAGAGCUUUACUUUCUCUUUUAAACCCCCCUAUAUAGCUAUCAACCUCGGUGUGAGAACCAAAAUAUUAGUGGAGCCCUUUUCAGUGUCUAUCUAAGUGGGUAAAUCUAUCCUAGCCAAAAGGGUAUACAGAAACUGCCAGAUUUUAGUAUCCCAGAAAAUUACUUCAGUUGAUUUCAGAAAUAGAGCCGUUCAAUUUUAGUUUCCUGAUGAACUAGUCAUUGAAUAGAGGGAUAAUAUUGUUUGAAUUUAGUAGAUUUAUCAUUCAUGGGGCUAGUUGUAUGAAAGGUGAAUCAGUAGGCUUGAAAUAGUAUAUGUAAGAAUUUGAGCUAAGUAUUAUGGUGUGGGUGUGCUUAUGUAGCAUCCUUGAGUGCUAAGUUUGAAUGGGGCUAGUAAUAUAGUAGUUGAUAUUCUUACCAGCUAAAUUAUGGACUAUAGCAUGUUGAGGUUGGAGAUCUAAGUGUAAUGAUAAUUCUCAUGGUUUAGUGAGAAGAGUAAGUAUAUAGAUCGAAUAAUUAGUAGGCUAUAAAGGAAGUUAUUGUGGUUCAAUAAGGGGUUGAGAAUAUCCAUGUUAAGUGAUAGAAUCUAAUCUUGAAUAUUUGAAGGUUGAGCUAAUAAAAAGGAGAGUUGAAACUCUAGUUAGUGUGAAAUCAUGAAUGGUGAUACUCAGCAAGGUUCUAAGUUGGUCAGUGUUUAAGUUGUUGUAAAAUGAUUAUUGAGGAUAUAGAAAGCUAAGAAUUGUAUAUCAAAAGUAAGUACUAGUAGUGGGCCUUACAUUAUUGGGUAUAGUCUUUUGGAAUAAGUAUAGUGUUUAUGUGCAUUAUUCUACCCCAGACUCUAGAGUAAAGUGGUAGCAGUUCAGUUUAGAGUUAUUGAUUAAACGGUUCACAAACUUAAAAUGAUGGCUUUAAGCUAAGGGGGAGAUGAUAGAGCAAAUAACCAAGUCAGGCUCUCAGAUCCUAGUAGUGAUGCUAGGAUGGGUAGAGAAGCAGUAGGAGAGAAUGAUGUCCAACCUAUUCUUAUCUCAGUGCAAGGUUUUUCAGUCAUCAUAAUAUCUACUCAUGCCUUACAUGUCAACUCCAUGAUCAUAGUUCAUGUUCAUGCACAUCAUAAAGAAUCAUGUACACUUUCAAUCCCUAGUAUAAAGAGUUCUAGUUUGCUUAGUAGUAAGAACCAUGUUCCAUGAAUUUAGAAACUCCAAACUCAGGUCAUGCAGCUCAUGACUCAUGUACUCAUGUUUUAUAGUAUGUUUCGUUCUAGUACUCAUGCUACACUCUCAAUGAUCAGCAAAAAUUUAGAUUUUUGUUAAGUAUAUCCUCAGAUUUGGUUUCUUUGAUGAUUCAUGUCGUGGAUACUCUAUUCCUCAAGCCUUAAUUUUAGAUUCCAGAUAUUUAGUCAUGAUUCAGUCUAUCCCAUGCAUCAUCUCAGUCUAUUCUUGGUAUUUUAGCCAAGUCAAUAUCAUUUGGGGGGGUGAACUAUCCCUAGGGAGAGAUGUCAUAAUGCCUCGAGUUUUCAUGUCCUAAAUCUCUUAUAUUUUCUUCAUGAAACCAGAUCCAGCUUGAGGUACUAGUUAAUCAUAAGUGAACUCUCUCUUCCUAUAUCAGCCUUAUAACCAUUCUCAUGUCAUUACAUCUAUUCAUGAAAUUAGUUCAGUUCAUGUAUUAUGCUCAGACUUAGUUAUGCAGUCAUGUUCCAAGUCAUGUUCCAAGUGUUCAUAAUGCAAUCUCAUUUGCUUUAGUACUCUCAGUCUAACUAGUCUUAUUCGAGGACAAAUAAUUCCAAGGAAGAGAUAAUGUAACACUCCAUAUUUUUAGGCUAGACUUUGAAGUGUCGUUCUUACCUGUAUUGACUCUAACUCCAUGAAUUUUUUUUGAAUACACGUGUCAUGAUAUUUAUCCUAGUGUGUUAAGUGAUCUAGAGGUGAAAAUGUUCAUAAGAAUCACUUAGAACAAAGUUUAGCUAAGAUCUUUUGAUUUGUCCAAAGUUUGGUAUUCGAUUCUACAAGGGUUUAAUUUGAACGUGUAUAAAUUCUUAUAGUCAUUGAAAUUUGCAUAUCAAGACACCCCAAAUUGUAGAUAAUUGAGUUAGCUUUCCAAUGAUACCAAUUUCACCUUAAUCUGAUACCCGAGCAAAAAGUUAUAGCCAUUUUUGUGAGAGAGGCAGUGAGGGCGCGCGAUUAGCUCGCGACACAUGCUCCAUUUCACCCCUUAGGGAGCAUGUGAUGUUUCAUGCAGCUCACACUCUAUUUCAGUGCUCCAUAUCAUGCGAUGUACGCUCCAUAGCACGCUUCCAAAAAUUUCCAUCUUUCUGUCACAUUUUUCCAAGAGCAUUUCAGUCCUUUCCCUUCACCUAACUAAUUUAAAAAAUGGGAUUUAGGGUCCCAAAAGCUUUUACUAUAUUAUUCAUAAAAUUUCCCCUAAUUGAAAGCAUUCCCUUUCAAUAACAAGCCCUAGCCCUUCAAUUCAAUAUCAAUCCUCAAGAAUUCACUUUCCCGAAUUCUUCAAGCAAGGUAUGUUAGAUGUUUAUCCAUGGGCCCUUGCCACCCAUGGAGUCCAAGAACCCAAAUUUCAUGUUUAAAAGAAUGAUCUUUAUAUGUUAUUAUGAACUUUAUCCAUGAACUCCAUGAAUUUUGAUUUUACAUGAUAUUUACAAGUAAUUGUUGUUGAAAUUAAACCUUACAUGUUUGAAUGGUGCUAUUCGCAUGUUGAAUCCCUAAAUCUAGAACUUGUAGUGUUUUAAUUAUGUUAGCAUCUCAUGUUUUGACUAUUCUCAUUCUCAAGUCUAUGAAUUUUAAGUGUUUGAUGAAAUGGCUAAAUGAUUGGGGUUUGAAUAAUGACUCCCUAUUAUGUUUCCAAGAGCUUUUUGAUAGAAAGAGUCCUUACAUGUUGAAAGUUGUGAAGUAUGUUUAGCUAUAUCUUGGUAAUCCAAUAUUCAAGUUAUAUUUUCAAUUGAUUUCACAUGGAAUGCAUUCUAGUAUGUUUUAAAUAUUGUGACUUCCAUACCAUGUUCUUACUAAUUCAGAAUAAAACCCUUCGUUUAUGAUUUGUUCAUGUGAUUGUGCUAUAUUUCCAUGUUUAAAAAGCAACCCCAUGUUAAAGUCUUAUUCCCUAUGUGUUUGAUGAGAUGUGUAAGUGAAUAAUUGUGAAAAUUUCCUUCCAUGGUUUCAAAGCUUUUAUGUGGUCCUAUUGUUAUUACUAUCAAGUCCUGGGGUUUAUGAAUACCCAAAAUUUCGUUGUUUACUUAGUUUCAGUAGCUUCAAAAUAGUUUCAGAUUAAUCAUAAGCAUUACCACUCAAUUAGACUUCACGAUUAGUUACUUUUCCAGUUAAGUUGGUUAAGUACAGUAAUCAGUGUCAUUCAGUUGGGAGUAUGAUUCAAUACCAAGCGAACCUAGGGAUAGAGACUCACCUGCCAGUUAGGACAAGGUUCUUAGGAGAAAUCCCUAAGUUCUAAAACUAUGUAGCCAGCGUAGGUUAUGAGAUGUUAUCCGCUAGUUUAGGACUGACACUCUUAGGGAUCACCUUCCAGUUUAGGACUGAUCUCAGGAGUCACUCACCAGAUUAGGACUGACUCCACAACCAUUGUUAGUACCCCUGGAAUGGUACUCACACCCUUUCAACUGAGGUCAUAGGUUGGACCCUGAUUAGCUCAGACUGGGGCAUGUCGAUUAGAUGAUACCUCCCACAAUUUCAGUUUUAGUACUCAGUUCAGAAUUCAAUUCAAUCUUGCUUGACCAUAGCAUAUAAUUUAUCAGUUAUUCAGUUACCAGAUUUCAGUAGUUCAGUUUGCAGACUAUUUCAAAACUUAUUUUAUGCUUGGUCAUGCAUUUUCAGUCUUUAUAGUUUACAUGCAUUCUUACUCAGUACCUCAUGUUAUACAUUCAGUCAGUUAACAUUAUUUAGCCUACCAGUACAUUCAAAGUACUGAUCGCAUACUCAUUUCUUGCACUAUGAAGUCUUAUAUCAUAGGUUCGUAUGCUCGGAUUGCCGAUCGUACUUAGACUUUCUAGUGCAUCAGCAACAGCAGCCGUGGUGAGUCCUCAUCUUUCGAGGAUGAGUUAUCUUAUUUUUAGUUAUGUCAGUAGUUCCACUAUUUAGUCAGUCGGAGUUACUUGGAGGCUUGUCCCAUCGACUCCACCGUGAGACAGUUAGAGGCUUUCAGACUAGUACAGUCAGUCUAUCAGUUUUUAGUCACUACUAUCAACCAUUUUAUCAAUAUUGUUAGUAUUGUUUUACAGACAUUAUCAAAAAUAUGAUUUAAAGCCUUAUGGAAUUUUUUAGCUAAAAUCCGCAUAUGAUCUUUUAUUAUCACUUUUACCCAGUGCUCACAACAGGUACCAGUAUCAUGGGUUAACUUGUGGUCAUUUGUGACCGUUAGCACCGUGUGGCAUCCAGGGUGUACUCAUGGGGCGUUACAUAGAUAUUAUACAUAGCAGAUUAUUUUUUAUAAAGUUCAGGUUCUAGUCCUAGUUCCCUAUCAACAGAAUCAAUGGAAAUAAAAUUAAGAACGUAAAUAAAUAAACAAAUAAACACAAUAAAGGUCAUAACAAAAUCAAUAACGAGUAAUGAAAGAAGAAAUGAGAGUGGUGUUCUGCUCCCAUGUCAAUUAGUGUGGAUGCGAUGGAGCGAAAAGAAUGGAUAAAGAGGAGUGCGACAUUUCAGGUCUUCCUUUUCUUCUCCCUUAUUCUCCUGUUUGAAUAUGAAUAUAUGUCCGAAGUCUAAGAGAGAUGCUUGUAGGGUAGAUAUACAAGUAUGAUUGAUUUUCAAGUCUCAAUUUUUGCAAGAGUCUCAAAUUGAGACUCCAUUUUUUCUCCAAAGUAUUCAUACAAAUUAAAAGAAAAAUGAUUAGAAGGUCGAACGAUGUUUACUGAUGUCAAAAUUUUGAAAUCUAUGGCGGGAUAUUUACUGA